UGCAUCCUCUCUGGGCUGCCCCGCAGGAAUCCACAGGUCUGAGAUAGUGCCUGAGAUUCUGCGUUUCUAACAAGCUCCCAGGGAGUAAUCACAGUUGCAA